rnacentral:misc_RNA from 1 species
UGCGAGUAUUAUUUUAUGCUAUUGCAGAAUGGGUUUAAUUUGUAAAAUACAAAAUAAUAUGUAGAUAACAGAAGGGGUAGAAAAAGGCAUGACAAUGUCAGAAGCCUCAGUGUGCGCCCUCAGAAACCCAGCCCGAGACCAUACUCUCAUCCAUAGGCUUUAGGCCACCACAUGAUCUCGCCACUGAUUCAAAGAGCUUUUCAAUCUCUGGUGCACAUCGUAUGAAGGAUCGAUUCCAGAAGUUGUAUCUAGGAUUCUUAAUGAGCUCGAUGAAAGUAAUCAGAAGGCCCCAUGGAUGUGGUCGAUUAACUAUUAAGCGUUCCAAAAGGACUCUUGUGAUCUGCUCCUGAAUAAUUUCCUGGUUUGAUUCUG